rnacentral:tRNA from 1 species
GGGCCCUUAGUCCACUGGCAAGACACGGCCUUCGCAAGGCCGGGAAGCGGGUUCGAUUCCCGCAGGGUCCA